UUGCUAAUGCAACAAUUGAAGAUGCUCAACUAUGUAAGGCUGGAACUAUUGAUCCUAAGAAGGCAAAGGGAAAAAUCUUGGUUUGCCUCCUAAAGGAGGUUGAUGGAUUAAGUUAUGCAGAGGGGUAAGCUCUUACUACAGGCACAGUGGGACUAAUUUUUGGCAAAUAAUAAGCAACGUGGUAAUGACAUUUUGCCAUUUCCUUAUUUGCUGCCUACUUCACAUGUCAAUAACACAGAUGGAGAAUAUGUUUAUUCCUACAUUGAAGGCACAAGUAAUUUAUCUCUUAACAUCAAUCCUUUAGGAUUCAAAAAUGCCAAAAAAUGCUAAUGUUAUAUUGCAGGAGCCCCAUGGCUUACAUGACCAGAGCAAAAACUCUAUUAGGACUGAAACCUGCUCCAGUAAUUGCUUCAUUAUCAUCUAAGGGACCUAACCCCAUCCAACUAUCAAUCCUUAAGCCUGACAUCACUGCACCAGGUGUGGACAUUCUUUAUGCAUGGUCCAAAGUCUUUAGUCCAACUGGUUUUGCAUCAGAUAAUCGGCGGAUUCUGUAUAAUAAGGGUCGGGAACUUUUGCAUCUUUCCCUCAUGUUUCUGGCAUCAUUGGCCUUCUCAAAAGACUCUAUCGCAAUUGGAGUCCUGCUGCCUUAAAAUCUGCUAUCAUGACUACUGGGAAGUGAUAAAUGGAGAAAAGAGCCAAAGCAAAGGAGAAAAAAAAA